rnacentral:tRNA from 1 species
GGGACGGUAGCUCAGUUGGUUAGAGCGCCGAGCUUAUACCUCGGUGGUCGAUGGUUCGAUUCCAUCCCGUCCCACCA